CCCUGGCUGGCUCAGUUGGUACAGCACAUGACUCUUGAUCUUGGGGUCAUGAAUUUAAGCCCCAUGUCAGGGG
rnacentral:tRNA from 1 species